AUUGAACGCUGGCGGCAGGCCUAACACAUGCAAGUCGAACGGAGUGGCGGACGGGUGAGUAAUGUCUGGGAAACUGCCUGAUGGAGGGGGAUAACUACUGGAAACGGGCGCUAAUACCGCAUACUAUACGAUGAGCCUAGUUCGGAUUAGCUAGUUGGUGGGGUAACGUCUCACCAAGGCGACGAUCCGUACCGGGUCUGAGAGGAUGAACAUGCACACUGGAACUGAGACACGGUCCAGACUCCUACGGUAGGCAGCAGUGGGGAAUAUUGGACAAUGGGCGCAAGCCUGAUCCAGCCAUGCCGCGUGUGUGAAGAAGGUCUUCGGAUUGUAAAGCACUUUAAGCUGGGAGGCGUUACCAACAGAAUAAGCACCGGCUAACUUCGUGCCAGCAGCCGCGGUAAUUC
rnacentral:rRNA from 1 species